GUAAUCGAGUGGCCGGAGGCCGCGGGACAAGUUGGGGGUCGUGCGUUUAUCGUAAGUACUGGGCCUAAGGCGUGUGCAGGCGGUUUUGCAAGCCGGAGGUGAAAUCCCCGGGCUUAACCUGGGAAGGGCAUUUGGGACUGCAAGGCUGGAGUGCGGGAGAGGAGACUGGAAUUCCUGGUGUAGCAGUGAAAUGCGUAGAUAUCAGGAGGAAUACCGAUGGCGAAGGCGGCUCUCUGGGACGGUACUGACGCUGAGACGCGAAAGCGUGGGGAGCGAACAGGAUUAGAUACCCCUGUAGUC
rnacentral:rRNA from 1 species